UACGGGGGGGGCAAGCGUUGUUCGGAAUUACUGGGCGUAAAGGGCGCGUAGGCGGCCUGCUAAGUCGGAUGUGAAAUCCCUCGGCUCAACCGAGGAACUGCAUCCGAUACUGGCGGGCUUGAAUCCGGGAGAGGGAUGUGGAAUUCCAGGUGUAGCGGUGAAAUGCGUAGAUAUCAGGAGGAACACCAAUGGCGAAGGCAGCACUCUGGGACGUGACUGACGCUGAGACGCGAAAGCGUGGGGAGCAAACAGG
rnacentral:rRNA from 1 species